GACGAACGCUGGCGGCGUGCCUAAUACAUGCAAGUAGAACGCUGAAGGAGGAGCUUGCUCUUCUGGAUGAGUUGCGAACGGGUGAGUAACGCGUAGGUAACCUGCCUGGUAGCGGGGGAUAACUAUUGGAAACGAUAGCUAAUACCGCAUAAGAGUAGAUGUUGCAUGACAUUUACUUAAAAGGUGCAAUUUCAUCACUACCAGAUGGACCUGCGUUGUAUUAGCUAGUUGGUGGGGUAACGGCUUACCAAGGCGACGAUACAUAGCCGACCUGAGAGGGUGAUCGGCCACACUGGGACUGAGACACGGCCCAGACUCCUACGGGAGGCAGCAGUAGGGAAUCUUCGGCAAUGGACGGAAGUCUGACCGAGCAACGCCGCGUGAGUGAAGAAGGUUUUCGGAUCGUAAAGCUCUGUUGUAAGAGAAGAACGAGUGUGAGAGUGGAAAGUUCACACUGUGACGGUAUCUUACCAGAAAGGGACGGCUAACUACGUG
rnacentral:rRNA from 1 species